UGUUCUCAAACAAUGUCCAAGAAAUGUUUUCCUGUGUUUCUUGGUGGAAGCUCUGUACCUCACGGUGUUGGAACCAGCGUUUCUCAAAGAUGAAAAUUAAUUUAGAAUCAAUCUUGCCUGGACUUGAAGGCCACAUGCAUAUUUUAAUGACCACAAAAUUAACAGUCAUGAUAGAUCACUUAGAUGUGUCCAUUUAUUCUGACUGUGUAACUGUGUCUUGUUCUUGAAGGGCCUGCAACCAUUUAAGAUGCACGUCUUGUGAUUUCAGUGUAAUUAUGUUUGAGAAUCACGAGUGGGACUCCUCCUGUGACUAUUUAUUUUUCAGGAAUAACAUGCCAGAAUAUCACAAACUAAAAGCCAAACUAAGAAGGAGAAGGGGUGGGCGUGCAGACGCCGGUCAAUGUAGCUGGCACUUGACCCUGAUACUCUCAGACCUGAGGGAGCAACAGCAGCUAAAGUGGGUUUGUGGCAAACACAAAGAAUGAACACAAGUCUGCAACAAGUUCUCUGAAAUCUUAUCCGUGUCCACAAGCAAGUGUUGCAUGCUCUCUCCUCACAAAAGAAAAUGCUGGCUAUUUUCAAAAUUUGCUUUGUGCAGUUUGUGGGGCUGGAUAACAAAAAUAAGUUUUAUGUUCUUUACUGAGUGUAGUGUGUGUGUGUGUGUGUGUGUGUGUGUGUGCGAAGUAAUUGUAAAUCUCUUUACCGAUGCCACAUUCUCCCUUACAGUGAUGAAGCACUGUGGCUGAUU